CCAGCUCCAAUAGCGUAUAUUAAAAUUGUUGCAGUUAAAAAGCUCGUAGUUGGAUUUCUGGUUUGGCGCGCUUGGCCCGCUGCGGUUACGUAGUUGUGUGCCGGUGUGCGCCUACCAUCCAUCUAGAGAACUAUUACGCCCUUCACUGGGUUGUGGUAGGUAUCUAGAUCUUUUACUUUGAAAAAAUUAGAGUGUUUAAAGCAGGCUUGUGCUAUGAAUACAUUAGCAUGGAAUAAUAAUUUAGGACUUUGGUCUUAUUUUGUUGGUUUCUAGGACUGAAGUAAUGAUUGAUAGGGAUAGUUGGGGGUGCUAGUAUUCAGCGGCCAGAGGUGAAAUUCUUGGAUUCGCUGAAGACUAACUUAUGCGAAAGCAUUCACCAAGGAUGUCUUCU
rnacentral:rRNA from 1 species